CGUGCCAGCAGCCGCGGUAAGACGGAGGAUGCAAGUGUUAUCCGGAAUCACUGGGCGUAAAGCGUCUGUAGGUGGCUUAAUAAGUCAACUGUUAAAUCUUGAAGCUCAACUUCAAAAUCGCAGUCGAAACUAUUAGACUAGAGUAUAGUAGAGGUAAAGGGAAUUUCCAGUGGAGCGGUGAAAUGCGUAGAGAUUGGAAAGAACACCGAUGGCGAAGGCACUUUACUGGGCUAUUACUGACACUCAGAGACGAAAGCUAGGGUAGCAAAUGGGAUUAGAUACCCCAGUAGUCCUAGCCGUAAACAAUGGAUACUAGGUGUUGAACAGAUCGACCUGUGCAGUACCAAAGCUAACGCGUUAAGUAUCCCGCCUGGGAAGUAUGCACGCAAGUGUGAAACUCAAAGGAAUUGACGGGGGCCCGCACAAGCGGUGGAGCAUGUGGUUUAAUUCGAUGCAACGCGAAGAACCUUACCAGGGUUUGACAUGAUACGAAUUUCUUUGAAAGAAGAAAGUGCCUUUUGGAACG
rnacentral:rRNA from 1 species